UACGUAGGGGGCUAGCGUUGUCCGGAAUCAUUGGGCGUAAAGAGCGUGUAGGCGGCCCGGUAAGUCCGCUGUGAAAGUCGGGGGCUCAACCCUCGAAUGCCGGUGGAUACUGUCGGGCUAGAGUGCGGAAGAGGCGAGUGGAAUUCCUGGUGUAGCGGUGAAAUGCGCAGAUAUCAGGAGGAACACCGAUUGCGAAGGCAGCUCGCUGGGACGCUACUGACGCUGAGACGCGAAAGCGUGGGGAGCAAACAGG
rnacentral:rRNA from 1 species